rnacentral:rRNA from 1 species
CAGGCUUAACACAUGCAAGUCGAGGGGCAGCGGGGGUAGCAAUACCCGCCGGCGACCGGCGCACGGGUGAGUAACGCGUAUGCAACUUACCUAUCAGAGGGGGAUAACCCGGCGAAAGUCGGACUAAUACCGCAUGAAGCAGGGGCCCCGCAUGGGGAUAUUUGCUAAAGAUUCAUCGCUGAUAGAUAGGCAUGCGUUCCAUUAGGCAGUUGGCGGGGUAACGGCCCACCAAACCGACGAUGGAUAGGGGUUCUGAGAGGAAGGUCCCCCACAUUGGUACUGAGACACGGACCAAACUCCUACGGGAGGCAGCAGUGAGGAAUAUUGGUCAAUGGCCGAGAGGCUGAACCAGCCAAGUCGCGUGAGGGAUGAAGGUUCUAUGGAUCGUAAACCUCUUUUAUAAGGGAAUAAAGUGCGGGACGUGUCCCGUUUUGUAUGUACCUUAUGAAUAAGGAUCGGCUAACUCCGUGCCAGCAGCCGCGGUAAUACGGAGGAUCCGAGCGUUAUCCGGAUUUAUUGGGUUUAAAGGGUGCGUAGGCGGCCUUUUAAGUCAGCGGUGAAAGUCUGUGGCUCAACCAUAGAAUUGCCGUUGAAACUGGGGGGGCUUGAGUAUGUUUGAGGCAGGCGGAAUGCGUGGUGUAGCGGUGAAAUGCAUAGAUAUCACGCAGAACCCCGAUUGCGAAGGCAGCCUGCCAAGCCAUUACUGACGCUGAUGCACGAAAGCGUGGGGAUCAAACAGGAUUAGAUACCCUGGUAGUCCACGCAGUAAACGAUGAUCACUAGCUGUUUGCGAUACACUGUAAGCGGCACAGCGAAAGCGUUAAGUGAUCCACCUGGGGAGUACGCCGGCAACGGUGAAACUCAAAGGAAUUGACGGGGGCCCGCACAAGCGGAGGAACAUGUGGUUUAAUUCGAUGAUACGCGAGGAACCUUACCCGGGUUUGAACGCAUUCGGACCGAGGUGGAAACACCUUUUCUAGCAAUAGCCGUUUGCGAGGUGCUGCAUGGUUGUCGUCAGCUCGUGCCGUGAGGUGUCGGCUUAAGUGCCAUAACGAGCGCAACCCUUGCCACUAGUUACUAACAGGUAAAGCUGAGGACUCUGGUGGGACUGCCAGCGUAAGCUGCGAGGAAGGCGGGGAUGACGUCAAAUCAGCACGGCCCUUACAUCCGGGGCGACACACGUGUUACAAUGGCGUGGACAAAGGGAGGCCACCUGGCGACAGGGAGCGAAUCCCCAAACCACGUCUCAGUUCGGAUCGGAGUCUGCAACCCGACUCCGUGAAGCUGGAUUCGCUAGUAAUCGCGCAUCAGCCAUGGCGCGGUGAAUACGUUCCCGGGCCUUGUACACACCGCCCGUCAAGCCAUGGGAGCCGGGGGUACCUGAAGUCCGUAACCGCGAGGAUCGGCCUAGGGUAAAACUGGUGACUGGGGCUAAGA